UGGGGAAUAUUGCGUAAUGGGGGAAACCCUGACGCAGCGACGCCGCGUGCGGGAUGAAUGCCUUUGGGUUGUAAACCGCUUUGGAUUGGGAGCAAGCUUUCGGGUGAGUGUACCUUUCGAAUAAGCGCCGGCUAACUACGUUCCAGCAGCCGCGGUAAUACGUAGGGCGCAAGCGUUAUCCGGAAUUAUUGUGCGUAAAGAGCUUGUAGGCGGUCCGUCGCGUCUGGUGUGAAAGCCCAUCGCUUAACGGUGGGUUUGCGACGGGUACGGGCGGGUUAGAGUGCAGUAGGGGAGACUGGAAUUGCCGGUGUAACGGUGGCAUGUGUAGAUAUCGGGAAGAACACCAAUGGCGAAGGCAGGUCUCUAGGCUGUUACUGACGCUGAGAAGCGAAAGCGUGGGGAGCGAACAGG
rnacentral:rRNA from 1 species